AGUCACACAAAUCAGGAACCUUAAGUCCAGAAACGUUUUGUGCUGCCUAUAAAGUAUAGACCUAGUGUUUCGGCAACUGUGGAGCUGUCAUCAGCAAGAGAGGAAGGCCUAGAAGGAAAAAGAAUGAAUAUUCAUACAACAAAUGCCGCCCAGAGAAGCUGGGAAAAUAACUGAUAAACCAAUAUAUUUGGCUGAGGUAUUACACAUGAUUGAAAGAAAAAGACAUUAAAAUAUGGAUGGGUGGAAGGCAUUUCAGGAGGAACUAGUCACCAGAUGAAAUGGAACUAUACCAGAUUAUGAGAAAAUGAAGAUCAGCGGUACAGAAUCCUUGCCCUUCAAGAGAACACAGUAUACAUGGGGAGACAUUUAGCAAAACACUUUUCACCACUGUGUGCUUCCCAUUCUGUGGCCCUAGGAUUCAUGGCUCAGAAUGGACUCCCAUUGUCACAUCCAUGUUCCAAGCACUAGAUGGAGGGCCAAGAAGAG